rnacentral:tRNA from 1 species
GCCGGUAUGGUGGAAUUGGUAGACGCGGCGGGUUCAGAACCCGUGAGAGUAAUCUCGUGUUGGUUCGAGUCCGACUACCGGUAC